rnacentral:lncRNA from 1 species
GCGAGAUUUGCAAGAAAAUCGAGAUGGGAUGAUUUAGUUGUACCAAAUUGAAGUCAAGUGAUCACAUCUGCAAGAAAAAUGCAAGACUUAGGAUUUGAUUGCACAAAAUUAAAGAUCGGUGACCUCGAUACAACUCCGCUCAAAGUUGAACGAUCCAUAGUGCAUUUAACCCUAUAAUUCUGUUGGGUUGGGGUCGGACAGGGAUGCGAUGCUGGCCUUUCUGGUCCAUUGAGAGUCCCAAAGGCGGUGUUAGCCUUUACCAACGUUUUCACAAAUUCAUGUCUGAACCAUAUAUAUACUCACAUAUACAUAGAGAGAGAGACACUAUAAGUAACUCAGUUUAGAGAGAGAGAGAGAGGAAACAAGAAGAAGAAAGGAGAAAUGGUGAUUUCGAGGAUUGAAAUGUGCAUAGAACUAUUUAAGCUUGCCUUAGAGUUCGUAGCCUUCGUCGUCGAGGCUGUUGGAACAGUUUUCAGACAGAACACAAUGGAGAUCCCGUUGAAUCCUAGGUACAUAGUACCUGUUCCGUACGCUGGUCUUGUACCUUAAUUUCGAUCCGUCAUGUUAAUUUCACGAGCCUCUUUUAUCUCUAUGUAUGUAAGAAAGCACAUUGUAUACUCUGCCUUGUAUUUUUCUUUUCUUUCUUUCUUUCAAGAAUCAAGAUGGGAUGAUAUGUUCCCAUUUUAUUAUGUGUAAGUUUUUUUUCUCACAUUGGGACACCAAGAAAUAUUAAUAUUAGUAUUGAAAAAUAUAAAUGUUUAGUGAAAAAAAUUCUCCAUUUUCGACUUAACUAUGAGAAUAUCCAAGUAUUAUAUUGUAUUGUUCAAUCAUUCUUCAAAUUUCGAAUUUCAC